UAUCGAGUCCAUAAAAUCCUACACGUGCGAAAGAAGUGCUAUUGAAAGAUUCCGUCGAAAUGUUUUAAGCAAAAGUUCUGCACCAGUUUAAAAAAUCACUGGAAUAUCAUUGUCAAAUGCUUAACUGACAAUAUCUGUCUUCAAAAUACAAAUUUAUUUAAAAAUACAAAAAGAAAUUAAUAAUAAAGUCUUGCGUGUUUAGCUAAAAUGUCAGAGUCUGAUUUAUUAAAAGUUGAAGAGUCAAAAAAUCUAAAACCAUGUUGUGCAUGUCCGGAAACAAAGAUACCAAGAGAUAAGUGUAUAAUGGAAAAAGGAGAAGAAAAUUGUGAAGAUUUAAUAGAAGCUCAUAAACAAUGCAUGAGGAGUCUUGGAUUCAAAAUUUAAGAAUAUAGUUACUUAA
rnacentral:lncRNA from 1 species